CGGUGGAGCAUGUGGUUUAAUUCGACGCAACGCGCAGAGCCUUACCUAGGCUUGACAUGCACGGGAAAUCCGGUGGAAACACGACCCCCGGACAGGUGUGACGAGCGCAACCCCCGCCCCGUGUUGCUAACAGCGGGACGUCAAGUAUCAUGGUCCUUACGUCUAGGCUACAUACAUGGCCGGNACAAGGGAUGCAAGCCAGUAAUGGCNAGCCGCCUUGAAAGCCGGUCUCAGUGCGGAUUGGGGUGCAACCCGCCCCCAUGAAGCUGGAAUCGCUAGUAAUCGGGAUCAGCUACGCCACGGUGAAUACGUUCCCGGGCCUUGUACACACCGCCGUCACGCCAUGGAAGUUGUGAGCGCCCGAAGUCCGUGUCGCAA
rnacentral:rRNA from 1 species